rnacentral:rRNA from 1 species
UGAGGAAUCUUGGUCAAUGGACGCAAGUCUGAACCAGCCAAGUAGCGUGCAGGAUGACGGCCCUAUGGGUUGUAAACUGCUUUUAUAUGGGGAUAAAGUGGGGAACGUGUUCCCUUUUGCAGGUACCAUAUGAAUAAGGACCGGCUAAUUCCGUGCCAGCAGCCGCGGUAAUACGGAAGGUUCGGGCGUUAUCCGGAUUUAUUGGGUUUAAAGGGAGCGUAGGCCGUUUGGUAAGCGUGUUGUGAAAUGUAGGAGCUCAACUUCUAGAUUGCAGCGCGAACUGUCAGACUUGAGUGCGCACAACGUAGGCGGAAUUCAUGGUGUAGCGGUGAAAUGCUUAGAUAUCAUGAAGAACUCCGAUUGCGAAGGCAGCUUACGGGAGCGCAACUGACGCUGAAGGUCGAAGGUGCGGGUAUCGAACAGG